rnacentral:rRNA from 1 species
GACGAACGCUGGCGGCGUGCUUAACACAUGCAAGUCGAACGGAAAGGCCCUGCUUUUGUGGGGUGCUCGAGUGGCGAACGGGUGAGUAACACGUGAGUAACCUGCCCUUGACUUUGGGAUAACUUCAGGAAACUGGGGCUAAUACCGGAUAGGAGCUCCUGCUGCAUGGUGGGGGUUGGAAAGUUUCGGCGGUUGGGGAUGGACUCGCGGCUUAUCAGCUUGUUGGUGGGGUAGUGGCUUACCAAGGCUUUGACGGGUAGCCGGCCUGAGAGGGUGACCGGCCACAUUGGGCCUGAGAUACGGCCCAGACUCCUCCGGGAGGCAGCAGUGGAGAAUAUUGCACAAUGGGCGGAAGCCUGAUGCAGCAACGCCGCGUGCGGGAUGACGGCCUUCGGGUUGUAAACCGCUUUCGCCUGUGACGAAGCGUGAGUGACGGUAAUGGGUAAAGAAGCACCGGCUAACUACGUG